rnacentral:rRNA from 1 species
UACGUAGGGUGCAAGCGUUUGUCCGGAAUUAUUGGGCGUAAAGAGCUCGUAGGCGGUUUGUCGCGUCUGCUGUGAAAACCCGAGGCUCAACCUCGGGCCUGCAGUGGGUACGGGCAGACUAGAGUGCGGUAGGGGAGAUUGGAAUUCCUGGUGUAGCGGUGGAAUGCGCAGAUAUCAGGAGGAACACCGGUGGCGAAGGCGGGUCUCUGGGCCGAUACUGACGCUGGAGGAGCGAAAGCGUGGGGAGCGAACAGG